GAUGAACGCUGGCGGCGUGCCUAACACAUGCAAGUCGAGCGAAAGGACGAGAAGCUUGUUUUUUUGCUGUUAGCGGCGGACGGGUGAGUAACACGUGGAUAACCUACUUAUAAUUCUGGGAUAACUUCGUGAAACCGGAUCUAAUACCGGAUAAUAUUUUGAACCGCAUGGUUCAAAAGUGAAAGACGGUCUUGCUGUCACUUAUAGAUGGUUCCGCGCUGCAUUAGAUAGUUGGUAAGGUAACGGCUUACCAAGGCAACGAUGCAUAGCCGACGUGAGAGAGUGAUAGGCCACACGGGAGGUGGAACAGGGACAAGACGACUGAGAGACGGAGCAGAAGGGAAUGGGAGGCAGUGGGCGAGAACAUGACGGAGCAGGGCGGAGUGAGAGAUGAAAGUGCUCGGAGCGGGAAGAUGGGUUAUGAGGGAAAAACAGAUGUGGAAGGAGAUGUGCAGAGAGUGACGGUACCGGGUCAGAAAGCCACGGCUAACUACGUG
rnacentral:rRNA from 1 species